UUCUUUUUGAAUUUUUUAGAAAGUCUAGCCUGCCCGAUGCUAUUAGUGAAUGGCCGCAGUAUACUUAACUGUGCUAAGGUAGCAUAAUUGCUUGUCAUUUUAUUGAUGUCUUGUUUGAAAGGUAUUAUGAAGUAGUAUUUUCUGUUCUUUUUUCCCUAAUUUUUAAUUUCAGUAAAAAUACUCAAGUUAGUAAAAAAGACGAGAAGACCCCGUAGAGCUUUAGAAUUUCUUGACGAAAUUCUUUAGAUGGGACGUUGGGUGUUUUUUCAAGGUUUUUUUGAACCUUUUUAGAAAAAAGGUAAAGCUACCUCGGGGAUAACAGGGUAAUUUUUCUUUAGAGUUCUUAUUGAGAGAAAUGUUUGCUACCUCGAUGUUGAAUCGGAAUUUAUCUUUGGUUGUAGAAGCUUUGGUUUUUAUGUCUGUUCGACAUUUAAAAUUCCACG
rnacentral:rRNA from 1 species